rnacentral:rRNA from 1 species
CACGUAGGCACCAAGCGUUGUCCGGAUUUAUUGGGCGUAAAGAGCUCGUAGGCGGUUCAGUAAGUCGGGUGUGAAAACUUUGGGCUUAACCCAAAGCGUGCAUCCGAUACUGCUGUGACUUGAGUACGGUAGGGGAGCGGGGAAUUCCUAGUGUAGCGGUGAAAUGCGCAGAUAUUAGGAGGAACACCGGUGGCGAAGGCGACGUCCUGGACCGGCAUUGACGCUGAGGCGCGAAAGCCAGGGGAGCAAACGGG